UACGGAGGGGGCAAGCGUUAUUCGGAUUUAUUGGGCGUAAAGCGCGCGCAGGCGGUUCAGCAAGUCUGAUGUGAAAUCUCCACAGCUCACCUGGGAGACGCCAUUGGAAACUGCUGAACUUGAGGUCCGGAGAGGUCGGCGGAAUUCCCGGUGUAGCGGUGGAAUGCGUAGAUAUCGGGAAGAACACCAGUGGCGAAGGCGGCCGGCUGGACGGCACCUGACGCUGAGGCGCGAAAGUGGAUGGGGAGCAAAGCGGG
rnacentral:rRNA from 1 species